GUCACACAGUCGUGUCUGACUCUUUGUGAUCCCAUGGACAGUAGCCCGCCCGGCUCCUCCGUCCAUGGGAUUCUCCAGGCAAGAAUACUGGAGUGGGUUGCCAUUUCCUUCUCCAGGGGACCUUCCCAACCCAAGGAUCAAACCUGGGUCUCCUGCAUUGUAGGCGGAUUCUUUUCCAUCUGAGCAAAACAUCUUGGUGUCAAAUCUUUUUUUUUUUUUCCCUCUGAGUCUUUCCUAAUGAACCUAUUUGCAUGGCAGCAAACGGUGAGGAGAUACCCCUGGUCCAAGGCCCGUGUGCAUCUGAGUGCUGUGGCCACAGGAGUGCAGUCAUCUGAGUUCUGACUCCGCACCAUCAUGCCUAAUGCUGGGAGAGCUGGCAGAAUGGGUGAUGUCCUGAAAGCUGUUCUCCACUGGGAUGAAUACCAAUGUGUGCCAAGUUGCUUCAGUUGUGUCCAACUCUUUGCGACUUUAUGGACUGUAGCUGCCAGACUUCUCUGUCCAUGGGAUUCUCCAGGCGAGAAUACUGGAGUCUGUUGCCAUGCCGUCCUUCAUGGGAUCUUCCCCACCCAGGGAUCAAACCAGUGUCUCUUAUGUCUCCUGCACUGGCAGCGUCCUCCUGUUGAUGACUGUCAGCGACUGCUCUGGCAGGAGGAGAUGAACGUGUGUCCUUCUACUCCGCCAUCUUGAACUGGAAACUGCGAUCCCCCUUAGCUGGUCUUAGCCUCAGCCGUUUUCCUGUCUUUUUCCAUCCAAGGCCCUGCAGGACCUGUGAACAGUGAUGAGUAGAUUUCAGGAGAUGUAUCCUGGCAGAACAGGUACAAGCGAGGGAGAGUCCCGCUCACUGAGCGUGCUCAUUUGCUUCGGUGGUGUCUGACUCUUUGCAACCUUAUGGACUGUAGCCCACCAGGCUCCUCUGUCCAUGGGAUUCUCCAGCCAAGAAUACUGAACUGGGUUGCCAUGCCCUCCUCCAGGGGGUCUUCUGGACCCAGGGAUCAAACCCAAGUCUCUUAUGUCUGCUGCACUGGCAGGCGUGUUCUUUACCACUAGUGCCGCCUGGGAAGUGGUUAUAAGUUUCCAACAAGGGCCCCUCUCCUAUGUCUGGUACCUUAACCAGGAAUGUGUCCCUCAGGCUUGGGACUUCAUCAACUGAACUGAGGCUCUCCGCUCCACUGAGCGCGACCUCUGUCUAGCAGCAAGCAGAUGUGGCUGAAGGGCUGGUGAACCGACGAUGGCACACAGGGCCAGGUCUGAGGGCCUCUUGGGUCUUCAGUCUCGAGUCGGGCGAGCAAUGAGCACAGCAAGCUUCUGCGGAGAAGCAGGGUGUGUGUAGGCCAGGUGGAAUUCGCUGACGGCGGGGGGAAAGUCCGUGUGCAGGGUGGGGUUAGCGUAAUGUACGCCCUGAGGAUUUAGAACUUUCUUCCUUUCGAGGGGUGUGGCGUGGAACGUUUGAGGUCCACCUCUCGGAAAAGGACCCAAUGGACAACCCGCAGCCUGCUUUGUUUAUGUGCCCAGGAGCGGACGCUGCGUUGGAUGGGACGGGGGCCCCUUGAAAUGGGCAUCUUGUUCUCUAAAUUACGAAUAUCUACUUGGAGACUGGAUUGCCUCACUGUGUUGCUAAGAUCGUGGCCUCUGGAAGCUCUCUGGUUCCGGGAGAGGGGCAGGGGGCAACCUCAACCUCUGAAAGAAAACCCGGUCCUGCCAUGGCUAGUAUGGAAGCCGCUAGCCAACAUGGCUGUUGAGCCCUUGAAAGACGGCUGGUCCAAACUGAAAUAUAAGAGAAAGAUACACUUCAGAUGUAGAAGACUUCCUGUGGGAAAAAAGAAUAGAACAUAGCUUAUUACUAAUUUUAAAACAUUGAUUACAUGUUGAAGUGAC
ensembl:lncRNA